ensembl:lncRNA
ACACACACUGACAGAGUGUCUGUACACACUCUGACCUGGGGACAGUGACCUGGAGGCCAUGAUGAGGCAGAUGGAGAGGCUUCUGGACGGAGAGGCUGGAGGUGGAUCAGAGUCUGAGUUGGGGGCUCCAUCCUUCUCCCCAGGGCCCCCAGAGCCCCCAGACCCCCCAGAACCCCGGGGCCCGGCCAGGGUCCACAACAGCUUGGUGGAGAACAACAUCCAGCGCAUGAGAGAGGUGCUGUGUGGUCGUCUGGGGGAGGAGGCCUUCCAGCGGCUUUAUGAGGACCUGAAGGAGGCCAGGAUGAGGCGGGAGGGGGACAGCAGGGUCCUGGACUCUCUAGACCCGAGAGACGGGUUCCUACUGGACCAGAUCCUGUACCAUGAAGACCAGGUCCUCUCCCACCAAGACCAGCAAGACCAGAUACCACAGAGCAGCCAACAGGAAGAGGGUGAGCCAGCAGACAGAACAGGGCGGGGCCACCAGAAAUUGUAGGUUUAAAGGAAAUAAUGGGAAAAUCCCUGGGCAGUGUAAACCCUCAAACGCUAUUGGCUGGCAGGAAAGUGUGACCUCAUCGAAGACUCUGCAGACCUGGAACAUUCAUUAACCAAAGAGAGCUCAUUUUAUACAGUCAUGUGUCAUAUAUAUCAUGUAGCUAUUUUGAACGACCACUUAUACAUUUAAAACAUCUUUUAAAAUCACAUUUAAAUAAACAAACUUUUUUUGUAACCUUCAUUGUUCUCAACCUUAUUUGUAGGUCGCGUUUUGUUAAAACCGCAGUCUUCUUAAUGACUAUUUGUGAAUGUUUGUCUUCAAAGGAAGAGGUUCUGUCUCUCUAUGAAAUCAUGGCCUCUUUUUAAAGGAUGAGUUGUAAGUAGGUUUUCUUCUAGUAAGAGUUUAAUGAAUACUUGCAAGUCUCAUUGAAAGCUGCAUAUCAUAACGUAAAUCAAACAAGCUGAAACCCAAAGGGGAAUCAAAAUGAAAAAGUUAAUUUCAUUCAGUUUGGGACUUAAGGCUAGCUCUCCGAGCACAGACCCCAGCUCUUUGAAUCCUGUAUCCUUGUCACGAAGGAACAAUCUUUUUAUCAUUUUAAUCAAUCCUAAAGCCUGUGGUACAUAUCUUUAUAAUUCAUUUGAAUAAUUCAUAAAUACAGUUUAUAGAAUGUUGAUGCUGAGCGGGGCAGUGUGUGUAAGGUACAAUAAAGUACAAUAUUAUGAAUAUGGUGAAGAUAGGAGCUGGGUGCGUUACAUCACCCGCAGAGGUUUGAAGGCUGUACUAUCACUCUUCCCGUGAAAGCCGUUGCCCACCUCAUAUCUUCUGCCAAAGAAUCCUGCCUGAGACACUUGCAGAGUAUUUCUAAAGAAGAAAGUGUCAUAUUAAAGAUAGCUGUAUUAAUAUAGAUGGAAAACAAUGGGGGAGGGCAACACGUCCAAUCUGUAAAUCUGAGCCAUGAAAUAGCAAAGCUGCUCAUUGCCGACUCGUUAUGGAAAAGUCUUUGCUUAGCGUUCAUCAAAAGGAAGAACUUAAAGGUUUCUCCCACCGC